UAUGUAGGGUGCAAGCGUUAAUCGGAAUUACUGGGCGUAAAGCGUGCGCAGGCGGUUAUGUAAGACAGAGGUGAAAUCCCCGGGCUCAACCUGGGAACUGCCUUUGUGACUGCAUAGCUAGAGUACGGCAGAGGGGGAUGGAAUUCCGCGUGUAGCAGUGAAAUGCGUAGAUAUGCGGAGGAACACCGAUGGCGAAGGCAAUCCCCUGGGCCUGUACUGACGCUCAUGCACGAAAGCGUGGGGAGCAAACAGGAUUAGAUACCCUGGUAGUCCACGCCAUAAACGACGUCAACUGGUUGUUGGGUAUUUACUUACUCAGUAACGAAGCUAACGCGUGAAGUUGACCGCCUGGGGAGUACGGCCGCAAGGUUGAAACUUAAAGGAAUUGACGGGGACCCGCACAAGCGGUGGAUGAUGUGGUUUAAUUCGAUGCAACGCGAAAAACCUUACCCACCUUUGACAUGGCAGGAAGUUUCCAGAGAUGGAUUCGUGCUCGAAAGAGAACCUGCACACAGGUGCUGCAUGGCUGUCGUCGGCUCGUGUCGUGAGAUGUUGGGUUAAGUCCCGCAACGAGCGCAACCCUUGCCAUUAGUUGCUACGAAAGGGCACUCUAAUGGGACUGCCGGUGACAAACCGGAGGAAGGUGGGGAUGACGUCAAGUCCUCAUGGCCCUUAUAGGUGGGGCUACACACGUCAUACAAUGGCCGGUACAAAGGGUAGCCAACCCGCGAGGGGGAGCCAAUCCCAUAAAGCCGGUCGUAGUCCGGAUUGCAGUCUGCAACUCGACUGCAUGAAGUCGGAAUCGCUAGUAAUCGUGGAUCAGCAUGUCACGGUGAAUACGUUCCCGGGUCU
rnacentral:rRNA from 1 species